GGUAUCCAGGAGCUGCGCUGCAGUCUGACAGGUGUGUGUGUGUGAAGCUGCAUCUAAGGAACAGCAGCUGAGUCUGCUGAGGGGAGCUGAAGGUCUCUGGGAGGCAUUGAAUGGUGCUACAAGUCAGCCCCAAAUCCUCUAAGUGCAAGGUGCAGCAGCUUGCAGAGACAGACCUGGGAGGCACAGAGAUACAAAAGCCGGAAAUAUUUAUAAAGAUCCAAGAUUUCCUGUAGCGCUGUACAGAGUACACAGUACAUACAGUACAGGAUUAUACUGUAUACUGUAAAGUAUACUGUAUUCCCCUACUGUAAAUUAUAGGAUUGUUAGAAGACAUUGUGGAUCUCCGAGGUGACUACAAAUAUCCAUAGUGAUGUACAGUAGUUGCUGCAUUAUCCUUAUAAUAUGCAAGUUUUCUUAAUAAACACUUAAGUGAUGACA